UUUCAUCAACGGUAGGAGGUGUCAUCAUACAAGUUAGCAUGGUACUAGUCAGUUUAUCGAACUGUCUCUAAUACUGUUUUAUUGUUUCACAAAAAGUUGUUACCACGUAUUGGUGAAGAUCUGUACAUAUUAUAAUAAGCUCAUUAAACUUUUGAUCUCGGUUGAGACUGUGGAACAUUUCAGGAUAGCGAACUAUUGGUUAGCUUGUUAGCGAACACUAGUGACAGCACAGCGCUGUCAUAUUGGGGACAAGUAUAUUGCUGCUGAAUAAACCUGUUGACGUUCUCCAAAAGAAGAUGGAGCUGCAGGCGGUAUUGAUGGCUGCUGGUGGUGGUUCUCGUAUGAUGGACCUGACCUACAACACCCCCAAACCUCUGCUACCUGUAGGGAACAAGCCCCUCAUCUGGUACCCCCUCAACCUGCUGGAGAGAGUGGGGUUUGAAGAGGUAAUUGUGAUCACAACCAAAGAGGUGCAGAAGAUGAUUAGCACAGACCCCAAGACGAAGCUGGAUGUGAAGAUGAAGUUAGACAUAGUGUGUAUCCAGGAGGAUGCUGACAUGGGCACCGCAGACGCCCUCAGACACAUUCAACAGAAAAUCAAGACGGACAUCUUGGUGGUGAGCUGUGACCUGAUAACGGACGCUGCUCUCCACGAGGUGGUUGACCUGUUCCGGGCUCACAAUGCCACCCUCUCAAUGCUGAUGAGCAAAGCCCACGAGUUCACGGAGACUGUCCCCGGACAGAAGGGCAAAAAAAAAACGGGGGAGCAGAGGGACUUUGUUGGGGUGGACGGAACAGGGAAGAGGCUCCUCUUUAUGGCCAACGAGGCCGACCUGGACGAAGGUCUAGUCAUCAGGAAGUCCAUCAUGCGAAAACAUCCAAGGAUGCACAUCAAAACUGGCCUUGUGGACGCCCACCUGUACUGCCUGAAGAAGUCUGUGGUCGACUUCCUGGCUGAUAACAAAUCUGUUUCUUCGAUUCGGGGAGAGCUAGUCCCGUAUCUCGUCCGCAAACAGUUCUCUAAAUCCAUGACCUCUCCGAAUGUCAAUGAUGAAGCUGAUCAGAACCUUAAGAAAAAGGAUGGCAAUGCAAACUUAGAGAUUCAGAUCUUGUCCAGGGAUGAGGUGCUGCUGCAGCUAACCCGGGAGAGGUCCUGUUGGAAUGACCAUCGUGGGGACAUGAGUGAGGCCUACCACGGAGGACGCCUGCGCUGUUACGUGCACAUCAUGGACGAGGGCAUGUGUUACCGCGUCAACACGCUAGCAGCCUACAUCGAAGCCAAUCGCCUGGCUCCUAAGCUGUUUGAUGAGCCUGCAGUCCAUCCAUCAGCAGCGAUAUCUGUGCGCUGUCUGAUUGGUGCUGACAGCAUAAUAGGAGCAUCCUGUCAAAUCUCAGACAAGGCAUCCAUCAAGAGAUCAAUGAUCGGCGCGUCCACCACCGUCAGAGAGAAGGUCAAAGUAACCAACUCCAUCAUCAUGCACGGAGUCACCAUCGAGGACGGGUGUAACAUCCAGGGCAGUGUGAUCUGCAGUAAUGCUGUGAUCGGCCGAGGUGCAGACAUCAAAUAUUGCCUGGUAGGGAGUGCCCAGCGCAUAGAGCCAGAGGGACAAUGACCCAACACACCUCCAGGCUGUGCAAGGGCUAUUUGACCAAGAAUGAGAGUGAUGGAGUGCUGCAUCAGAUGACCUGGCCUCCGCAAUCACCUGACCUCAACCCAAUUGAGAUGGUUUGGGAUGCGUUGGACCGCGGAGUGAAGGAAAAGCAGCCAACAAGUGCUCGGCAUAUGUGGGAACUCCUUCAAGACUGUUGGAAAAGCAUUUCAGCGGAAAGGACUAACGAGGUGAUUGUUGGAACUGACCAACUGAUGGAGAUCUAGACCAGGGGGAGACUGACCGAACGACCAGUCCUACACAUUGCUGACAGAUCCAACAGAAACCACAGCAGUGAGGCAAACUAACUGACCAACAGGCAGUGAUGGUCCAUUGUCUAAAUAAAAGCAACUUUGUUUA